CCUAUGGGGUGCAGCAGUCGAGAAUCAUUCACAAUGGGGGAAACCCUGAUGGUGCGACGCCGCGUGGGGGAAUGAAGGUCUUCGGAUUGUAAACCCCUGUCAUGUGGGAGCAAACUAAAAAGAUAGUACCACAAGAGGAAGAGACGGCCAACUCUGUGCCAGCAGCCGCGGUAAUACAGAGGACUCAAGCGUUGUUCGGAAUCACUGGGCGUAAAGCGUGCGAAGGCUGUUUCGUAAGUCGUGUGUGAAAGGCGCGGGCUCAACCCGCGGACGGAACAUGAUACUGCGAGACUAGAGUAAUGGAGGGGGAGCCGGAAUUCCCGGUGUAGCAGUGAAAUGCGUAGAUAUCGAGAGGAACACUCAAGGCGAAGGCAGGUUCCUGGACAUUAACUGACGCUGAGGCGCGAAGGCCAGGGGAGCGAAAGGGAUUAGAUACCCUAGUAGUC
rnacentral:rRNA from 1 species